CAAUAAAGUUGAACAACUUGAACUUAUCAACAAAGAGAGAACUUAAAAGUCCCGAUUUUGACUUUUGCAGACAAUAAAAUAUUCAGAUCACGUUGUGUUUACACACCUGUGAAGGGUCCCACUUCUCAAUAUAAAUGACCGAGUCUUCUUGUGAACCCUGUGAAGCGUCAGCCAGUUGAAGAUGCCCUUCGUCGUGCCCUGGUGGUAUUUAAGGGGAGAGUGGAGCUCCUCUGUCCCAAUCUAAACUUAGCUCUGCCAGAACCACUCCUCAUCAAAACGUGCUCCACAAAAGAUUACAAAAGGGAUCAAGUUAGACUUGACUGAGUCAGACUAUUUUGUAGCUGAGCCUCCUAUAACAAGGGUUUUUUUUUCUUUCAUUGUCUGCACUCGUAUUCCUCUGUCACCACGGGCAACUUUAUCUCGGCACUCAUUCCUGGUAACAAUCAUGAUGGAGGAGAAAAUGCAGGAGAGACACUCUGACGGUAUCAUGAACUCUUCAUCUCACCAAGAAAGCUCGAGCUCAAACAGAUCUACACUGAAGGCCACAGAACCUGGAAGCAUGUCCACGCAGUCUUUCUCUUCUCUGCUGCCAAAGGCUCUCUCUGCUGUGCUCCAUCCAGCUCCUCCACCAGGCCAAAACUCAGCUUGCCAUCCCAGCAGAAACCCAGAUAACCACUCACCAAACCUGGAACGACUACAAACAGAGCUGAGAGACCUUCGAGAUCAGUUGGAACAGAUGAAGAGCCAGCACAACAAAGAAAUUAAACUGUUAAUGAACGAGCUUGAUGAGGAGAAGAGGAUCCGCCUGACUUUGCAGGUAAAGAAAAGGCAUGAUGGAGUGAGUCUGUUGAACCGCUAA
rnacentral:lncRNA from 1 species